rnacentral:lncRNA from 1 species
UAAAGUACGACCACUAUCUGGUGCCCUAUAGCUACUAUGAACUGGGAAUGCUACACUAUCUGAAAGGAGACUAUACUAAUGCAACCAAAAACCUCGACAACAUAAAGAACUAUAAGGACUAUUCCAUGGAGGCCCGGCUACAGUUUAGGGCUCAUAUUGCCCUUGAACAGAUAGCUAAAUUAGAAAAGUGAUUCUUAAUCCAGUGUGCUUCUGUGUAGUAUGAGUGGAAUAUCUGCAAUUUGUCAAGUAAUUGGUGGGUAGAAAAGGAAUUCCUCUGUGAAAAGCAGAAGUCCAAGCGGCAACUGCCAAGACCCUGCUAAGUAACUAAGAAAGGGACACGCCAUUGCUUUGCCCUCUCUCCUCCUCCUUCCCCAUAAAAUGCAAUGCUCGGACCAA